rnacentral:lncRNA from 1 species
GGAAAUCAUGUUCAGGACUAUACAGGACUUUAAAAGCUUUAUCUUCCCAAACUGAAAACCAGACCUCUCAAGUCUAGCUGCUCUCCUCCAGGUGCUGCAUAAAUGGACCUGGUCUUUGGCUACCUUACUUUGGAUCACUUGGUUGAAACAGUUCCCUUAGUCAACUUGUCCACUGGACUUAAGCUGUGGGACACAGAAAUUUUCCCUGGAAGAACAGAACAAUGAAGAUGAAUAGUUGAAAAAUGAGAGUGAUCCUGGCUGUUGGUAGGAGUAUGAGACACCCCUCCACAUUAGCAAACCCUAGAUUCUAAAUCCAUCAGCCUAAGUUGUUGGCUAUACAAGCAUGAUGACAGUACCUGCUCGGCUUCUGGUGAGCUUUUACUCAUGGCAGAGAGCAAAGUGGAAGCAGCACUUCUGCAAGUCUCAGAGUCUAAAGGCUGAAAAACCUGGAGUCUGAUGUCCAAGGGCAGGAGGAGAGGAAGCAAGCAUCUGACAUGGAAAGAAAGUGGGAGCCAGAAGACUCAGCAAGCAAGACUACCCCCAUGACUUCUUCCACCUAGGUCUUCCUCUUCCAGUCCACUGACCCAAAUGUAAAUUUCCUUUGGCAACAUCCUCACAGACACACCCCAAAACAAUACUUUGCCAGCCAUCUAGGAAUCCUUUAAUCCAGUCAGGAUGACAACUAAUGUUAACCAUCACAGCAUUUUCUAAAGAGAAUCCUGCAUUCUAAAGGAUCUAGUCUGGAUGCCAGGAGCUGUGUAUAGGAUGAGAGCCUGGUGGACCUGAUUGACCGCCUGUUGUUCAGUUCAGUUCAGAGACUGAAAAUCAGGAUUUGUGCUGGAGAGUCUUUGAACUGUGUGUGAAAGUAUCUGAAGGUCCAUGACAAUUUGAAAGAAGGCAUAUGAAAAAGGUGCAGGAAUCGAAGGCACGAGAUACACCUGAAAGUGGUGGAGCAAUGAAUCUGAACAGGAUGAUGGAUUGAAAGUGCUCAAAAGAGGCAGCUAGGAUCCUGUAUUCAUGUCCUACCACUGCAGCCAGGGAAAGAUCCUCCCACAUCUAUCAGAAGACUGGAGGAUUAUGUCUGGAGAGAUUGAAUUCUAGGGAUGCUCAGGCCCAAAUGAAGGUUUGAGCACACAAUGAAAUGAGUUGAUAUUGACUGUUGGGAACCAGAGUUCUCAGUGGAUGAAGAGACACAGAAAAAUAAAAUGAAGGAAGGCAAAGAA